UUUGGUAUGUUUAUUAUUGGUAUUAUUUGGCAUUAGUGAGAGUUGUUCCAUAAAUCUUCCUGAUUGUUCUUCUCUGGAUAUACUAUUAUGAAUCUGGUGUCCAUUGUUAGUUCAAUUUUGGAUUAAGGGUUCAAUUCUUUACUUAUUUUAGUUACUGAUUUUUUUAUAUUCACUUUGAUAUAUUUACUUGUGAUAUGGUUCGAAUUGGCUCACACCUUUUCCUGGUUGUUCCGUCCUUGGAUAUAUCCUUUAUAAAUCUGAUGUCCAUGGAUAGUUCAAUUUUGGUUUGGUGCCCAAUUCGACACUUAGCAUUAUUAUGAACUUUAGUGCAAUAUUUAGUUCUGUUUUGACUUUUAAGCAAUAUUAUGUCAAUAUUUGGUAGCAGAGAGUAACAGUAACAUUUUAGUAUGAAUUUGAGUCAUAUAUUUAUUUUUCCUUGAUCAUUAGUUUAUAUUUAGAAGUAAUCUUGCGAAUCAACGUGGAUUGUUAGACUAUUGUAAAUUUAGUUGUUAAUAUUUUGAAGUUUAGAAAAAAAAUUUUAUGGAUAAAAUUUUUUUUCCCGAGUAGAAGGGGAUUGUAACGGUCACGUUACAAAAUUAGCUCUUUAAUUAUUAUUAUAAUUAUUUUUCCUCGGUCUCCAUUUAAAUUCUCUAAUUUCUCGUAUAGGACUACUGGGGUGACGUCAUACCUCGGUGAUGGAACGUACUCCACCUAUCGAGAAUGAUUUCGUUUUCUGAGAGAGUUUGACGUUUACCUUGGCGGAGAAGCGCCUCUCGUUCUUUACUUGACUGUUGGCUGUUGUGUCGAAUAGAGGUACCAUAUAGAAUGGCGGAUGAUUUCAUCCAACUUAUUUUAUAACAUCAAGCAAUUUAACGUAAAGUAAAAAGUUACCACCAGGGAUUGUCUGGAGUGAGGAGACAUGUGGGUGACAACUCCUGUUGGAGUAUAAAUAGGAAUCAUUCGCCAUUUGGGAGAAACCCUACCAUGAAGUCCUAGACCUUAUUUGACCACCUUGGGAAACCACUACAGCCACAGUCAAGUCAUCAUUGGGUAGUAAUUGUGGGAACAAGCUAUGGGAGCGUUCCAGCUCAAUUUUCGUCUUGGCACCUGGGCCUAGUCGCACCAUCCUGGUGCAUCAUUUUCUAGGAUGCAACCGCAACCUCGUUUGGGAACAUUCAGUGAGGUGUUUAGUAACUAUUGGUUUUUUUUUAUAUUUCAGACUAUCUGUUAAAUACACUAUGUUUUUUUUCCAGAUUUAGGUUACCUCUGGUUUUUUUUUGACAUAUUUGUAUAUUAGAUUAUUUGGUUCCCAAACUUUGUAUCUACGGUAACUUCUUGUGCACAGGAAUAAGCCUAGAGAAAAUUAGGUUUUUAAUACUUUAUUAUUGCUUUGAUAUUGGUUUAUGUAAUUCGGGUAAAUUUAUUUUUUUAAUAUUACUAGCUUGUUUCCCAAAUAUUUUACUGUUAUUCGCUUUAUUCCAUUUGUUCGGUUAAUUUAGGUCAUCGUCGGUAUUUAUCUCAACUUCAUUUCUAUUUAUACUUAACUUACUUACUUCAUUAUUGUAUUUUCCCUUAGUGAGGCUUGGGCCUAUUUAUUUGUAUUAUUUUCAUCUUUGUCAGUUUCCUUUAGUUGUACGUAGCAGGCGUACUAUAACCAUUUGGUAGAAGACUUAUGUAAUUUUGUACCCUAUAUAUAUGUAAGAGGUAUUUAAGUUUAUAACAGAUAACAUUAUUGUUGUUAUCUUUAAAAUAUAUAUAGCUUCUUGUAUAACUUAUGUCAUUUUAGAGUUACAUGAUAUAUGCUUGUCUAACUCAGAGAUUGUUAAAAAUCUAGUAGUUAUUUUAAUAAAUAUUUAUUUAUUUUGUA